CGUGCGCUGGAUUAUGACUGAACGCCUCUAAGUCAGAAUCCGGGCCAGAAGCGACGCGUGUCCGCCGCUCGUUUGCCGACCAGCAGUAGGGGCCCUCCGGCCCCCAAAGGCACGUGUCGUUGGCUAAGCCCUCGCGGCGGACGAGCCGCGCGGGCCGCCUUGAAUUACAAUUUCCACCGGGCGGCGGACUGAAUCCUUUGCAGACGACUUAAAUACGCGACGGGGUAUUGUAAGUGGCAGAGUGGCCUUGCUGCCACGAUCCACUGAGAUUCAGCCCUUCGUCGCUCCGAUUCGU
rnacentral:ncRNA from 1 species